AUAAAAUCCACUUACAACAGCAUUGAAGAGUGAGGACAGAGACACAGAGACAGGCUGCAGAAAGCUGUGCAAGAUAAAUUUUGCUGAGAGAAAUGAAAGAACUAAAUCAACGGAGAGACGGGGGCACACGUGGAAAGACGCCAACGCCUUCCAGACAACGCACAGGCUGAAAACCACCCCCAGCAGAACCCCUGCCGCACACCCAGGAGGAGGGAAGGCUGCGCCCGUGCAGGCCCCGCCCACGAGGAGCAGGCCCUGCCCACGAGGAGCAGGCCCUGCCCAUGAGGGAAGGCCCCGCCCGCCAGGGGCCCAGUGCCCACCAGCAGCCAGCCCUGCUGCUUCCCUGCCCGUCGGAAACCAGAUCAGCCCCUGCCUGGGGAGGAGACAGGGCACGGGAAGCUCCUGGGCCACCUGCACCUUUGCCGUCUGGAUGGUGGUGGUGUCCUCGCGGAUGUGUGGACCGUCAAGGUGCAUCAGCUGGAUGGGGACGGGGAAGGCAGGCCGCGGAGGUCUCCAUGAAGCCCAGGCCCACGCUGGACGUGCCCAGCAGGUGCCCACUGGGACUCGAGCACAGGCCCCGACACUCAGCCCCCAGCAGCUGGGUCUGGUGCUUCUGGCCCCGUUCUGCAUCUUCAAGCCGCGGGACGAGCGGAGCCUGAGGGCAGACAGAGACCCCCGAGAAGUUGUGGCCAGGAGCCUGCGGACCCCUGGUGCAGUCGGGCUUUGGCGGGGCAAGACCUCAAGACACCCUGCUCCCCGAGGAGCCGCCGGACCCGUGGCCAUGGGAUAGGGCAGGGCAAACCCCGAAGAGCCAUUUCCCACAGAGGAACACCUGGUCCCCAGCUGCACAGAGGGAGUGACCCAGCCGGAGCAGGGCAGCCUGGAUUCCUGUCCCAGCUCUGCCCCUCAGGACGUGACUCAGGGCAGUGCCCUCUCUGGCCUCAGUGUCCCCUACAGCAUGGGGUGGGAGAGAUGGGACACGCGGGCCCCAGCACGGCAGCCCUUUCUCAGUCUUGCCAGGGCCUGCAGCUGCCCCAUGGGAAUGGGCACGGCCUCCCUGGCUCCCUGGACUCCGCAGACCCGGGCCAGCGUGUGCUGCCAGCCCGUGGUCGCCAGAGCCAAG
rnacentral:lncRNA from 1 species